rnacentral:rRNA from 1 species
CGAAAGAUUGACCCAGUUACUUAUUAGGAUGAUAUAUAUUUCCCCACGGAUAAAACAUUGCUUUGCAAUGUUUUAUCCGUGGGUAUAAAAAUUUUUAUAAUUUCUAUAAUAAUUAUAUAAAUUGAUUAAAAAUAAAAUCCAUAAAUAGUGAAAAUAAUGAUAUUAACUACCAUAAUAUAAUAUUAUGGAUAUUUAGCAUAAUAUAUUGUUAAAUAUUUUAAUAGUCCUAACCAAAAUUUGUGCCAGCAGCUGCGGUAAGACAAUGGGGGCUAGCAUUAAUCAUAAUGGCUUAAAGGGUCCGUAGAAUGAAUAAUAAAAAAAUUUAGAGUUAAUAAAUUUAAUUAAAGAAUUAUAAUAGUAAGGAUGAAAUGAUAAUAAUCAUUAUAAGACUGGUAUGUGUGAAGGUAUUAAUUAAAUAUUAACUGACAUUGAGGGACGAAAGCUAGAGUAGCAAUACGGAUUCGAUACCCGAGUAGUUCUAGCUGUAAACAAUGAACACCAUUUAUUCUCAAAAUGAGAAUAAAUAAAUGAAAAUGAAAGUGUUCCGCCUGAAGAGUACGUUCGCAAGAAUGAAACUCAAGACAAUAGACGGUUACAGACUUAAGCAGUGGAGCAU